GUGUGCGCGCGCGCGCGCGCGCGCGCGCGCGCACCCGCGCGCACCCGCUCGCACAUGUGCUUGAAGCAUCAAACCAUGCUGUUAGUAUGAAACUGUGAUCCGCAGCGUGCAGCGCACGUUACUUCACACACACGGCUCGCAUACACAUGCACACACUUAUUUGCCCAUCUGUACUUCAUUCUAGAAGGUGCAGUGGCAUGCACAUUACCGAGUUUUGUGCCAGAGCCCCCAUCCUCCACAGCUCACUUCUGGAGCUGCAGGGGCGGGGUGGGGAGCAGGGCCGCGUCCGGAGACAAUGCGGUUGCGGUCGGGGGUCGGAGCGCCGCGUGCACACCCUUGCAGGGAGAUGCGCCAGGUGUGGGCCUGGCGAGCUCGCCCCCGGGGCUGGGCCUUCCGUUAUUCGGUGGGAGGCCUCCGUGUCUCGAUCUGACACCGAGCAGACAGGCCCCGAGGCGGGAGCCACUCGGCAGGGUCCCCUCUUCCUCCCUGGGGACCCGUGGACGUGUUUUUCAGUUCCUGUGCUAAGUAUCACCUUGAGUUUGCCGAGGGAGCGCGGCAAACAGCGCGCAGAGCUACAGCGGACCUCCAGGUGUUCCUCAUCAAUUCUGGAGCUCUUGUGUCUCAGAUCAGAAGCAUGAAGGGCUCUCUGGGAAAGCCCACUUGGAAGAGCAGGAGAGGAGGCACUGUGGGGCGCAGGCCACCGGUUUGGGAAUCAGGGGUGUCACUCCAAACAGCGUCAAUGCAACCGGCAAAUUAUUCGCCUCAGAAGCGGAGUUCGAGGUGGGAACUUAAGGCAUCACCUGCCCUAGGGCCGCAAAUAGUGACAUCUGGCCUCUGGCGGCACCUCUGAGUCCUGCCUGUCUCUGUUUCGAUUCCCCCUCCUGGUGCCCUCAGGACUGCAGGGAGCGCCCGCUCCGCCUUCAACUCCACUUUGUUCCAAAAUAAUGUCACGGGACCGCGUCCAAGUCACGUGCCCAUCCACGAGCCAACAACGGGUGGCCGGGGCGGCGUGGCUUCCUCUGAUUGGCCAGACCUGGGCCACGCGGCCUCCCCUGGAGCCAGUAAGAGAGAGUGGCCGCAGCAAGCGGGCUGGGACCCUGAGAGCGGAAUUGGAGCUGGGCUGGUGGAACCCGGGGCGGUCCUUGAGCUUCUUUCUGUCCCCGUGCUGGUGGGGGUCCAUGGCGCAGAAGGUGCUGGCGGGGAGAAGCGUGUCACCCAGAGAUCUGCAGGCCCUGGCAGACGGCGGGCCACAGUGACGCUUGCUCCAGCUGCGUGCACCUCUGAAUCAAAGACCCAGCAGGUUCCUCGCGUGGGGGCAGAUGUCCUGUAUUGAUGUGCCACUUGCCACUUGGGAGUCCAGGCUUGGACCAGCCUGGAAAUGUGGAAGCCUGGCCACUCGCAGAUCGCCAAGCCCAGUCCUCCGAGUCAGAAAUGUUGAUUUGUUUCAGUAACGUGAGCAUGGGGGAGGGUGGGGCGGAAGAGAGGAAAGUGAGCAAGAGAGACAGUGAGUCAAAAACCAUGAAGCUGACUGAGACAGAGACCGGGAGAGACAGACACACUCAGCAGGAGAACCACCGAGAAAGAACAAACAACACAGAGAGGCUAAUAAUACUAAGGGAUGGAGCCCGAGAUGGAAGGACACAAAUUAAGAGCAGGGAAGAGACACAGAGAGAGAAAACCAGACCGAAGAGAGUCAGAUGGAUUGAGAUUAGCAAACAAUAAAAAUAAAAAUAAAUAAUAAGAUCGAGAAAGAGCAAAAGAAAGAUUGAGUAGAAGACAAGACGGGGAGAGUGAGCAAGACAAAUACCUCCUCCCAAACCCCGUGGUCCAGAGCCCAGAAACUCUCCAAGGCUUUGCCAUAUUUUAGCCAUGAAACCGGGAAACUGGGGCAGCUUUCUCACUGCAGGUCCGGGACGAGCAAGCCUUGUUCGCAUUAUUGCUGCCAUCCCCUGCGAACUGGACAUUAGCCAACAGGAAAUUCCUGGGAGAAAUCUUUCCACUCAGAGUCUUUUAAAACUUUUUACUUAUUUAUUUUAAUCCCCCCCCCUUUUUUUUUUCAAGGACGAACAAAAAAAAGAGUGAGGUGGGUAAGGGGGAAGAAAGGAAAAAAGAAAAAAGAAAUGAUCCACCUGGUAUAAGAAAAACUUAUCUGGCAACAGCCAGGGGAAGCUCGGGAUCCAUUGUGUCCGCUGUGUCCAUUCUUCCUCUGGAAGGAUUUAUGACCUCACACUCCCAUGACAUCACAAUGCGUUGCCAUGGCUCCUGCUUUAUUAUCGUAAACAAAGAGCUGUUCCUCGGGACACUGGCCGUCUGAGCAGGAGGGGGAGAAAAGGGUCUGUGUAAUGUGUUUUCUUGGGAAGGCGGCUUGUUCGGAAGUCUGAAAAGCUGCGAAAAUAGUUGUACACAGUUCUCUGCGUGUAGCCUCUGGACAAGGUUAGGACAGGGACAGAGGAAUGAAGUCAGCUCUCCGCUGGAGGACCCUCGGGCUCUGUGUGUUCUCACCGCCAAAGAGCGGCUUCCUGGGUUUCCCUCACCGCUCGGAUAAAGGCUUUCAUUCAUUCGCCA